rnacentral:rRNA from 1 species
AAUGAACGCUGGCGGCAUGCCUAACACAUGCAAGUCGAACGAAGCCUUCGGGCUUAGUGGCGCACGGGUGCGUAACGCGUGGGAAUCUGCCCUUGGGUUCGGAAUAACAGCGAGAAAUUGCUGCUAAUACCGGAUGAUGACGUAAGUCCAAAGAUUUAUCGCCCAAGGAUGAGCCCGCGUAGGAUUAGCUAGUUGGUGAGGUAAAGGCUCACCAAGGCGACGANCCUUAGCUGGUCUGAGAGGAUGAUCAGCCACACUGGGGACUGAGACACGGCCCAGACUCCUACGGGAGGCAGCAGUGGGGAAUAUUGGACAAUGGGCGAAAGCCUGAUCCAGCAAUGCCGCGUGAGUGAUGAAGG